rnacentral:lncRNA from 1 species
GAUUUUGACCGUAACUAGCUCAGUUUUCAAAUUGGAAUUCGGCCAAUUUUCGGCCUCCGUGUUCGGCCACUUCCGGUCCGUUUUUGGGGUAGGUCCAAGAACAAAAGUGGUUCCAAAUAUGGUGUUAUACCUAGGGUAGGAGUUUGGAGCCGUGGUUUUGAGAUUUUCCGGCGAUGCGUAAUCGCUUUGGACACCCAGCGCUGCCGACGCGUGCGGCGGCAUGUGGGCGAGGGUAGUGAAGUGGCACUAUGUCUUGAUGCGAUCCUUACGUUGUCACGAGCGCGUAGGAAUUCGCGGAUCUCAAUUUGGAUACCGUUUGAGCCUCGAACGGAUUUUCCAUAUGGUGCGAUUUCCGGGUUCAAUACUAUUGAGCCGUUGGAUCGUAAUCUUUUUCAGAUAUGUUACUCUAGACAAUUUCAGAAUCGUGUAGGAUUCGACGGAUUGUG